GACGAACGCUGGCGGCGUGCUUAACACAUGCAAGUCGAACGGAAAGGCCCUGCUUUUGUGGGGCGCUCGAGUGGCGAACGGGUGAGUAACACGUGAGUAACCUGCCCUUGACUUUGGGAUAACUUCAGGAAACUGGGGCUAAUACCGGAUAGGAGCUCCUGCUGCAUGGGGGGGGUUGGAAAGUUUCGGCGGUUGGGGCUGGACUCGCGGCUUAUCAGCUUGUUGGUGGGGUAGGGGCUUACCAAGGCUUUGACGGAUAGCCGGCCUGAGAGGGGGACCGGCCACAUUGCGACUGAGAGACGGCCCAGAAUGCUACGGGAGGCAGUGGUGGGGAGUAUUGCGCAAUGGGCGGAAGCCUGAUGCAGCAACGCCGCGUGCGGGAUGACGGCCUUCGGGUUGUAAACCGCUUUCGCCUGUGACGAAGCGUGAGUGACGGUAAUGGGUAAGGAAGCACCGGCUAACUACGUG
rnacentral:rRNA from 1 species